AAUGAUAUCGGGCUGAAGACUCUACUUGACUAGCUGAGAGGAGGUGCAUGGCCGUCGUCAGUUCGUACUGUGAAGCAUCCUGUUAAGUCAGGCAACGAGCGAGACCCACGCCAACAGUUGCCAGCUCGUCCUCCCGGGGAUGGUGGGGACACUGUUGGGACCGCCUCUGCUAAAGAGGAGGAAGGAAUGGGCAACGGUAGGUCAGUAUGCCCCGAAUAUCCCGGGCUACACGCGAGCUACAAUGGUUGGUACAAUGGGUAUCUACCCCGAAAGGGGACGGGAAUCUCCUAAAACCAAUCUUAGUUCGGAUUGAGGGCUGCAACUCGCCCUCAUGAAGCUGGAAUCCGUAGUAAUCGCGUUUCAACAGAACGCGGUGAAUACGUCCCUGCUCCUU
rnacentral:rRNA from 1 species